rnacentral:rRNA from 1 species
CGCGUAGGCGGUCUUGUCGGUCAGAUGUGAAAGCCCAGGGCUCAACCCUGGACGUGCAUUUGAAACAGCAAGACUUGAGUACGGGAGAGGAAAGCGGAAUUCCUGGUGUAGAGGUGAAAUUCGUAGAUAUCAGGAGGAACACCGAUGGCGAAGGCAGCUUUCUGGACCGAUACUGACGCUGAGGCGCGAGGCGUGGGUAGCGAACAGGAUUAGAUACCCUGUAGUCC